UACGUAGGUGGCAAGCGUUGUCCGGAAUUAUUGGGCGUAAAGCGCGCGCAGGCGGUCCUUUAAGUCUGAUGUGAAAGCCCACGGCUCAACCGUGGAAGGUCAUUGGAAACUGGAGGACUUGAGUACAGAAGAGGAAAGCGGAAUUCCACGUGUAGCGGUGAAAUGCGUAGAGAUGUGGAGGAAUACCAGUGGCGAAGGCGGCUACCUGGCCUGAUACUGACACUGAGGCACGAAAGCGUGGGGAGCAAACAGG
rnacentral:rRNA from 1 species